GUUGAACGCUGGCGGAAUGCUUUACACAUGCAAGUCGAACGGCAGCACGGGGGCAGCCCUGGUGGCGAGUGGCGAACGGGUGAGUAAUACAUCGGAACGUGCCCGGUCGUGGGGGAUAACGUAGCGAAAGUUACGCUAAUACCGCAUACGAUCUGAGGAUGAAAGCGGGGGACCUUCGGGCCUCGCGCGAUCGGAGCGGCCGAUGUCAGAUUAGGUAGUUGGUGGGGUAAAGGCCUACCAAGCCGACGAUCUGUAGCGGGUCUGAGAGGACGACCAGCCACACUGGGACUGAGACACGGCCCAGACUCCUACGGGAGGCAGCAGUGGGGAAUUUUGGACAAUGGGCGCAAGCCUGAUCCAGCCAUUCCGCGUGCAGGACGAAGGCCUUCGGGUUGUAAACUGCUUUUGUACGGAACGAAAAGGCUCUGGCUAAUACCUGGGGCUCAUGACGGUACCGUAAGAAUAAGCACCGGCUAACUACGUG
rnacentral:rRNA from 1 species